UAUUAAUAGCUAUUUUUAGAUGUAUGUCAUAUACCAUUCAUCCGGCAAAAUUUGAAAUAGGACAAAUGUAAUACUGUUAGAAAGAAAAGGAUCUGAAGAAGGAAAAGGAAAAAGUCGGUCUUCUAUUCUAUUCUAUUCGUUUUUGAAUCAUUUGAUUAAAUUCUUCCCUGUAUAAAGUCCUGUGGAUUCAUUAUGUCCUCACGUGAAGAAUAUUGCUCUAAUCAAUAUUCAGAGAAUAUCAGUUCUGCUUAUUGUACAGUUGUAAAUUGUAAAACAAAUAUGGAUACAAAAGAAUAUGCUGAAGACAAGCUUUUACCAUUACCGUUCUCAACCAAAGAUCAUCAUAAAACCGUCCUAUCCUAUCACAAACUGAAGAUAAGUUUUAUGUGUAUGUUGGUACUGAAUGCCUUACUGUUAGUGGUUGUGAUAAUCUGCAUGCUGAUGAUUGUACCACACAUCUCAACAAUGGACAAUAAUACACCGCCACAGAGUCCAGAUAAGUUCCAGGAUAAGGAUCACAUGACAUGUUUAUCAAUCAAGAAUAAACUAACCAGACUCUACAGAAACGGUCAAAUGGUAGAGAAUGUGAAAGAUGGCGAUAUAUGUUCUAUGGAAGAUCUCAUGGACUCUUUCAUCCAACAUGUUGAAGAUGCAAUGCAAAAGGAAAAAUCAAACGUUUCUGCUGCAUUCCAUUUAGUGACAAAUAACACAUAUACUGACAGAUGCCAAGACAGCAAAACGUUACAUUGCUUGAAGAAUUGGAAUAUAUCGAUGAACACAACAAAAAUCUCAGUGAAAGAUGAAAGUAUUGUAGUACCUUCCGCUGGAGCGUAUUUCUUGUACAGUCGUGUUGUCAUUAAUGCCAAAGUUAACAGUCAUCUGAAUGAGAUGGAAACAAUCACCCAUUCAAUCCGAUAUAGUAACACAGGACACCAUUUCUCGGACUUAGAAACAAGUAUGGUUAAAUGUGGUGUCAUUAAAAAUACAAUGAGCCAUAUCAGUUACAUUGAGAAGAUACAGUUCCUUGAGAAAGACAGUCAAAUUAAAAUAGCUCUAGACUUCCCAAAAGACGUUGUAAUGCAACCCUCUGUUAAUUCGGGUGCUUUUGGAAUGUUUAAACUUUGAAACUGUUUAACAGAGAGGUGAAUUUUUGAUAAAGCCCCUAUGAUUGCCCCUUGAAUUCGAAAAAAAAGUAUUAUGAUACUAUAACAUCUACCAAUUUGAUCUCAUUUUGAGAUUUUGUCCCGCUUCAUAUUAAGAUUUGAGACAAGGCCUUGACCAAAAAGGUAUUUUUCUUAAAGAUGCAUCAUAAUAAUAUGCAUUCAUGAAUAAAAUAUCCUUUUUGGGUAGAGCAUUAACUCAUAUCUAAGUUUGCCAAAAAUAAUCCUUAUCAAUUUCGACAUAUCUAUAUCGUCAUAGUGAUAUCACAAUUGACAUGUUUGUUAUAAUUACAAAUUACAGCUUUCCAAAACAUUUUUUUAGAAGACAUAAUGAUCGGUAGGAAUACUGUGUUUAAAUUGUUCGAUGAUGGUUCUUUGCUUUAAAACGUACAGACGCAAAUAGUUCAUGCGUGUUCAGAACGAGAACAAACUAAUAAUGCAAACAAUAGAUGGGAUGUGCAUGGUUGGGUUCGACCGAGAUGAAAGGCGGGAACUUUGGAUUACCACUGGAAAAUGAGUGUAUGUUCGGUUGGAUCAAUAAUUUUGCCUUUGCAAAAGGAUUCUUGUAAACGUCCAGAGGAUGGGGCCACAUUCUGCACGAAGCAUCGGAAUUACGUCCACAUUCCGACCGGUCGUGUCUGCUUAUUUGUAUAUACAUUCCACACAGACAAACUGACACCCCAUUUUAGCAAGGGUUUUACUGCUGGAACCGGUCACGUCUAACGGAUAAGCAUAUGUGUAUUCCUUAUUGAACCUUUUAGGUCCUGUGAUAAGAAUAAUAUAACCAAAACUUUAUUUUAAUCGCUGACUUUCUCACAUAAACUUUCUUUUCACGUUUUGUUGAAUGUUUGAUGAGAUAGUUUGAAACAAGUUUGAAGUGACAUAUAUAUUUAAAGGUUUUCCAGGCUAUUGACACAAAGUGAAUACUACAAACGAUCACGAAAGUAACAAUAAAUAAUGGCUGUAAAUGUAUCGUCGCAUUCUUCGUUUUUUAAUCGCAACAACAUGAAAAUAUUGUGUAUCCUAAAUUUGCGUAAAGCAUAACACUUAGAACAUUGUGGUUUUAUUUGGGAAAGGAAAAAGGAGGGGUGGGGGGUAUUUUUUGUUGUUGCAAUCCAGCUGCAGCUAUCGAGCAUAGGACGGUAUGAUAAUGUCAGCAGGUAAAGUAUUUUUGUCUCCAUUCGGUUACUGUUAGCAUUUUUGGAUACAGUAUUAUUGAUAAAGUCGUUUUACUUGUAGCUUAUUUUUGUUUGCUUUCUUUGUGCUGUAUUAAAGGGUAAACAGUGAUUUCUUUUUAUGUGAAGGCACUUGUGAUAUAGUACUUGACACAUGUACUAAUGUAUAUUGUAUAUGAGUAAAAACUUGUUUAUUGCUGGCAACAGUUUGUUUACCUCUAGACCUGAUGUCGAUUGUUUUCAGUCCAAUAGGAGUAUGUCUCAUUGACCCAUCAUACCCCACAUCUCCUGCUUCUGAAUAUCGAAAAUUAUAUAUUUAGCUUUUAUACUUCCAGAAAUAUAGUCAAUUAAACAUUUGUGAAAUAGGUCUAUAAUUCGAUAGAAUGUGUGUAAAAGGCGGCGAAAAAUAUGAUUGUUUUUUGGCAACAAACACUUUCGUUUUAAAAUCGUUUAAAGUGAUGUAUGAAAAAAGAUAUGAAAAAAUAAGAUUUUGCAGCAUGACGCCGUCACGAUGUUAGAACGAUUAUUUUGUCGUUUGGACCUUUAUUUACGCUUCAUUUCAAGACUUAUUAAUUUCUACUGAAAAACGGAAUACGGCGACCACUCUUAUUUUCAUAUCAUUAAAACGGAAAUGUAAACAGCAAUAACAUAACAAUCUUCGAGAAAAAGCAAUUUAAAGUGAAUAAAUGUAUAUUUGUCGCCGUAUUUUACACAAAUUAUGUUCAAUGAGCCAUUUUAUAAGUUUUAGUUGACUGUAUUUCUGGAAGUAUAAAAUAUACAUAAAUUCAGAUGCAGUUCAGCGAGUUCUUAAUGCAUAUAAUUACAUAAUAUAUUUUAUACAUAAAUUAUAGAUUCAUUCACUCAGUGUGCGUUUUGGGUUGAAAUUUAAGCCUCUUAUAUCGAAAAAGGUAAUUUCCCUAUCAAAGAUAUUUUUCGUUGAAUCGUUAUAUAAAUAGAUACUUCCUAUUCUGUAUUUUUAAACAAGGUCAAAAGAUUAACACCUGAAGUAACAUUACCCGUUUCUGUUCCAAUAAUCAGACCAUUGGGACAUGUAAUAUAAAAACGAAAAUUAAAUGACUCACCGGAAAAGAUAAAUCUAUAUGUACUCAUCAUGAGAAUUGUGUAUUUCUAUAGAACCCAAUCAUAGCGUGUAUAGACGUAAAGUAAUUUCCAGUUUUUAUUUAAAAAAAUACGAUAAAGAUCAAAUAUAUAACAUAAAAUCAGAAUAUCAUCAAAUCGAGACAAUCACUCAAAUCACAGAUACAUUUGAUGUUCAAGUUUGCAAGUACCAAAUGAGAUUAAUACAUUACUAAGUUACUAUAUCUUGUAACUAUAUCUUUUGUCAUAAUUAUUAAACUCUACAAUUCAUGUUUUAUAUGCUUUUCAAUUUGACUAUAAUCUCUUCAUAUAUGUAUUUGCUUGAAUUUUUCACACAAAAAAAAUAGUAAAUGAUUAGUUUUAAUGAGAAUCUCUUGACAGGUCAUCACCAAAAACAAAAUUGUUAAAUUCGUGACCUAGAUUGUCAAGAGGUUCUUAUUAAAAUACUACACUACGGACAGUGGCAGAUUCAGGGGGGGGGGCGUAGAGGGGUACGCCCCUUUUGAUUAGAAAAUAUCACAAUUUUUACCAUAAAAUCGUCCAAACAAUUCGCCUCUCUACGCUCUGCAGUUUUUCUUCAAGUUUAAGGAAUAACACCCCCCUUUCAAAAAUCAAAGUACCGACCGCUGACAUACAACUGGUACGUCAUUUAGUACAUAUCUAUUACUGUAAAAUUCUUCUAAUAUACUUAGCCUACAUCAGAACUAUAUUAUCGAAGUUCAUUUUCAAUACGGUUUAGUUUAUUUUAAAGUUACAGUACUAAAAAAGUAGCUGUAUACUUGUUCACUUACAGGCAACUUUAUGUGGAAAAUUAAAUCUGUGUAAGCAUAUGAGUUUUCCCUGAGUAGGAAGAUUAAUAUAAAGCUCCAGGGUUCACUUUCUCCUUUUUUCUCAAAAUCCAGUAUGAAAAUAAGUUUUCUUAAGAGACUCUUACAUAUGCAUGAAAAUGUAUAUGCAAGUACAUUAUUCAGUGCAAAUUAAUUCAAAGAUGUGUCUUUAAUUUGUUUACCCAAUUACAUGUGUGUAUAUAUAUUAUAUAUGAAUCUGUUAUGUCAUACAUGUUUCUGUCGCAUAUCCAAAUUGUACCGACUGACAUGUAACCUUGUGUGAGUGCUUUACAUUAGUUUGAACUACCUGUAACAGCAGCUAUCUAGGAAGAAAACAAAGAGAAAACACACUGAUUACCUGAAGAUUAUGACUCAGAAAGACAUUGUGGUUUGAGGUGAAGACUGUAAUAUCCGGUGUGGUCUGUGGUGAGGACAGUACGAUUUACAUGUACUUUAAUCACCGAACAGUUUAUAAUGCCAUCAUAUAAAGUAUUAUGAUACGCCAUUUUUAUUAUUUUAAAUCAAAUAUUUUUUACUGUAUAACAUGUAUAUAGGGUAAAUAAUAAUCAAAUAUUUUUGUAGAUUUUAUUUCUUUGUAAAAUAAAAAUUCAAUAUUUGCCGACGUGUAAAUUUUCUUUCUUUAACAAAUUUACCUUAAAAGUAGAGUAACAACAAUAUCAUUGCGUCAUAAAAAAAAGCAUGGAUUUAAAUUUGAAGUUUUUUGACAAUUUUAUACGCUUUCUAUACAAAUGUUUACCUAUUUUGAAAGAAUGCAAGGGGACAUAAGUGAUAUUUUAGAAAAUAAAAGAUAUCAAUACAUUAUUUUUCAGUUAUAGUUCAAAGAACCAAAGUUGUAUGCACAUUUUUACCAAAAUCUGUGACAUACCCUAUUUAAUGUACCUAUUUGUGAGCAAAUUACUUUGACGUCAUCAAUGAGUUUCAUUAAUUGACCCCAAAAAUGACCAUUUAGACACAGUUUUUGGAGUUAUAAAAUAUUAGCAAUAGCCCUCGCAGAAAUAUUUUAUAUCUAAUAUUUUUAGACAAGGUCAUUGCUAUUUUUUUUACUUAAAGCACAAAUAAGAAGGUUCUCAAAUUGGACAGCACUUUCGUUAUGUCUGAAAGCCUAUCGUGUAGUAUUAUUAAUAGCAUGGAUCCGAAGUAAUUUUAGGGCCUUAAUUUUAGAAAGAAAAUGAAUACCUACGAUAAGUGGAACAUAAUCGGCUAUUACAAUAAUUCUAUACAAUGAUAUCUUAUAUUUAACUACUUUUUGAAACAUUCACACUGUCACAAACCAUUAAAGCACUACAAGGUGUUAUGUUUUUAUAAACGAUUAAAAUAUGGUACUGUGUCAGAAUUGCUGCCAAGAAACUGUAUGUGUAAUCAGAAAAUGAGGUUAUGUUGAUAUGAAGUGCAAUGUCUUGUGAUUUCUCGGUCGUUAUUCUGUGGUUUAGUUAGGCUUUUCUUUGUCUUCCUAUUAUAAUACUUUCAUAUAUUGUGAUUUCAUUCCGUCACAUCGAAUUUGAUAUAAGAGAUGUUUUAGCAAAAUGUCUCGCAUCAUUGCUAACCUUAUUACACACAUAUUAGAAGUCGGAAUAAUAAACUAAAACUGACAUUUAGAAUACAGAUUAAAGGACAAGGAUUAAGUCAUUAGAACAGUGCAUUAAAAAUUCAAAUACGGAAGGGAAUAUAUGUCUCCGGAAGAAAAAAAUAACUUGAUCAAGUAGUGAUGUAACAAUAAGACAUUUAAGACCAAUUGAAACGAGAACGAUAUACAGACCAAUGAAUACUUGACAACAAAAAUAUACGCCGGAACCCCCACAAAUCACAUUUUCUGGAAUACUUAAUAUAGACUGUUUCUACUAAUAAAAGAUAAUACUUAAAUAGUGUUUUUAUAAAAUUAAAAUGGGAUCACGUGGCAAGUGUCGACUAACGUCAGAAUCUUCACAAGUAUCAAUGUGUCAAAAUUGUGAGAACCCAUAUUGUGAAGUUACAGACCUAGUGCCAGAUUUAGGACCAAGAAGAAUGACAAAACAGAGUAUUUCAGAAAGUUUGUUGGUUCCGUCUCAAUACCACGAGUUUCAAAAACAAUAUUCCGAAAUUGUGCUUUCAUAUCAUAAACUAAAGAUAAGUUUCACUGUUAUGCUGAUCUUGAAUGCAAUAUUACUGGUGGUUGUUAUCACGUGUAUGGUGUUCAUCAUCCCUCACAUAUCACCAAACAAGGUAUCUAACUCAAAUGGAAAUGAUAAACCAGACAAGCCAACAAACCUUCCAAGAACUGGUGAGUUAGUAACAUCUUCAGUGACUCCUCCAAUAAAGGAUUCAAGCGUUAUUGCUUGUCAAUAUAUUAAAAACAGUCUUGGUCGAGUCUACAUCAAUGGUCAAAAGGUGGAUGAAAUUAAUGGAAAGAUGUGUGCUGUCGAGGAUUUACUAGAUUCUUUGAAGAAGUACAUAGAGUCUUGGGUAGAUAAAAAAAGAAUCAAAGCUGCUGUUCAUUUUACAUCAGAUACCACAGAUUUAACAAGAUGCAAAAGAGAUUCAAAAUUACUUCGAUGUUUGAAAAAUUGGCAAGAAAAGUGGGGUACAAGUAAAAUAAAUGUGAACGAGGAGGGUAUAAUCGUGCCAAAAACAGGGAUAUAUUUUAUAUACAACAGAGUGACCAUAACAAUGAAUGUAAAAAAUGCCACUGUUAUUGGUGACAUUGAGCACAUCUUACGUCACAGCAAUACUGGUAGUAACUUCAAAAAUAUUGAAUCCAGCAAAAUUGCAUGUGUAUCAACAAACGGAGUAUUGCAUCACGUUAGUUAUAUAGAAAAAGUUCAUCACUUCCUGCAAGGUGAUGAAAUCAUGGUUGCGCUUAAAACACCAUCACAAAGCAAGACGUCUAUUCAGAGUACCAGCUCGUUUGGAAUGUUUCAGCUUUAACAGAUUUAAUUGAAACUCUUCAGCAAUCUAGAUACACUGUUAAGUGUAACAGAUAUCUGAUAAAAAUGACAACAUCCAGGUCAUUCGUAUAUAUUUGACAUACCAAGGCGUAUUAAACCUUCAAUGACAAGCCUUGUAUCCAACACUAAAGCUGUGUUUGUAAUAAAAUUACGAUAUACCGCUCAGUGUAUGAUAGAAAAGAGACACUACUGAAGCGUUUGACAUACCGACUCUUUUUACAAUUACUCUAACGUUCAAGUUUUACUGAAUGUUCAUAACUUAUUAUAUAGGUAUUCUUUUGGUGAACAUUGUUGCAUGAUCACGUAGACAUUCGAAGCGUACGUUCACUUAACACGAACACCUAGCAAUAUGCUUCUUGUUGGAGCAUUAUGAUACACAAAUCUCAUCGAAAUAGCUGUACAAAUGUAAAUAUGUAUAUGAAAUAAUACAAAUGUACAAAAAUGUAUAUAUGUAAAGUUUCUGUUAAACUGUAAAAUGCACAUUGAGUUUACUCAUAUGAGUCUUAUCAACAAAGAAGCAUUUGUUUUAUGUGCCAGUAUAAACGUUAUAUCUGUGAUAAUCUUAUGAUAUUGUGUUCAGUUAUGCCAUAUGUAAAUUUUUUAUAUAAAAAUGUCCUCAUUUAAAUCUUUAUGGACAUUAUUUGAUAAUAAUGUAACUAUCUAUACUUCAUUUUGAUCUCUCAUGUAACUAGUCAAUGUGAAACAUCGGCAAUAGUGACAUACGAUGUUUGAAUUGCGUUUUUUAUAUAUACAUUAAGGGACGACCAUUUGAUUUCGGGAGGGUGAAGAGGAGGGCGGCAGAAGGAUUUUGAAAAAAAUAUCCUGACCUGAUAAGAACUGAACAAAAUAAUCUUGCCCAAGGCAGAUCGAUAAAGAAUACCUUCUGUCAACAAAAUAUAAGACAUAGAUGUGUUCAAAAGUCAAAAUAAAACAAGCUAAAACAAAUAUCCUGCCCGACCCCCAAAAAUCAAACGGUCGUUGUCUAAUAUCGUAUUGUAAUAAUGCUUUUACAGUAUGAAUUCAUUUGAAUUGUUGCUCAAAUGGUUAACCACAUAUCUGUAACAUAUCCUGACCAGGGAUGAAAUUUGUAAUAUAUUUGUUAUGUGAAAGAAAUAAAAUAACAAAGUGA